rnacentral:rRNA from 1 species
GACGAACGCUGGCGGCGUGCUUAACACAUGCAAGUCGAACGAUGAACCCGGAGCUUGCUCCGGUGGAUUAGUGGCGAACGGGUGAGUAACACGUGAGUAACCUGCCCUUGACUCUGGGAUAACUGCGGGAAACUGUAGCUAAUACCGGAUACGACCCUCGGCGGCAUCGCCAGGGGGUGGAAAGAAUUUCGGUCAAGGAUGGACUCGCGGCCUAUCAGCUAGUUGGUGAGGUAACGGCUCACCAAGGCGACGACGGGUAGCCGGCCUGAGAGGGUGACCAGCCACACUGGGACUGAGACACGGCCCAGACUCCUACGGGAGGCAGCAGUGGGGAAUAUUGCACAAUGGGCGCGAGCCUGAUGCAGCAACGCCGCGUGAGGGAUGACGGCCUUCGGGCUGUAAACCUCUUUUAGUAGGGAAGAAGCGAAAGUGACGGUACCUACAGAAAAAGCACCGGCUAACUACGUGCCAGCCGCCGCCGUAA